rnacentral:piRNA from 1 species
UGAUUUUGUUGUGUCCAUUAUAGGUCUCC